AGCGAACGCUGGCGGCGUACUUAACACAUGCAAGUCGAACGGGGAUCAUCGGGUUAGCAAUAACUCGGUGGUCCUAGUGGCGCACGGGUGAGUAACACGUGGGUAACCUGCCCUGGAGACCGGGAUACCCCCUCGAAAGGGGGGCUAAUACCGGAUACGUUCCCUGGAUCGAGAGGUCUGGGGAGGAAAGGUGGCGAAAGCUGCCGCUCUUGGAGGGGCUCGCGGCCUAUCAGCUAGUUGGCGGGGUAACGGCCCACCAAGGCUAUGACGGGUAGCUGGUCUGAGAGGACGACCAGCCACACGGGGACUGAGACACGGCCCCGACUCCUACGGGAGGCAGCAGUGGGGAAUUUUCCGCAAUGGGCGAAAGCCUGACGGAGUGACGCCGCGUGUGGGACGAAGGCCUUCGGGUCGUAACC
rnacentral:rRNA from 1 species